AGCGGGAGAUGAGGUGCACGUGGGAGUCGAUCGCCCCGGCCGUCAGGAUCCGGCCCUCCCCGGAGACCACGUCGGUUCCGGGACCGAUGACCAGGUCGGGGUGCACGCCGUCGGCGACGUCGGGGUUGCCGGCCCGCCCCAGGGCGACGAUGCGUCCGCCGCGGACCCCGACGUCGGCGACGACGACCCCGCCGUGGUCCAGCACGAUCGCGUUGGUGACGACCGUGUCCAGGGCACCCUCGGCCGAGGUGCGCACCGACUGGGCCAU
rnacentral:sRNA from 1 species